GUUGCUUCUCAACCUUUUGGCUAAAAUCAAGUGUAGUAUCUGUUCUUAUCAGUUUAAUAUCAGUAGAAUCAAGAAUGCAAUAUCAGCUCAAUUCAGAGUGGAGAGGCAUAGCUAACACUUCUGUCCACAAUUACCGCUUUAGAGCACCUGAACAGGUCCAAAGUCCCUGCAACCUUU
rnacentral:snRNA from 11 species